GGCAUCGUAGCUCCUGUGGUUGGAGCGUUGGCUGUAUUCAAGCCUUUCACUCGUUGUUGUGGGUUCGAAUCCCACCGAAGCUG
rnacentral:tRNA from 1 species